CGAGAAGUACCACACAAUUCUCUGUUUACCAUCGUUUAUCUCUGUGCCAGCAAAACGAUUACGCGUCAAACAAAUAUUUUCGAUUAUCCUUUUUGUUUAGAUAACAAUUUCGCAAGCUUAGGAUUAUUUGUGCACAUCAUACGCUUUGCGCGAGGGUUUGGAAAAAUGAACGUAACCGAGAAACAAAAAGGAAUAUUACUUUCCUUUAUGCAAAGAUAUCCCGAUUUCGGCAGAGGACGUUUACGAUACAAUAGUGAAAAUAAACGAAAAAUUGAUGAAUUUUGGGAAAAAUUAUCUAUAAUGUUAAAUACUGCAGCAUGCGGACCACGUAAAUUCUGUAAAGAAUGGGCCAAGG